rnacentral:tRNA from 3 species
GUUCGCGUAGUUGAAUUACAACAGUGGUUUUUCAGAUCACUAGUCCUGGUUAAAAUCCUGGCGAGAAUU